rnacentral:rRNA from 1 species
AGAGUUUGAUCAUGGCUCAGGAUGAACGCUAGCGGUGCGCCUAAUACAUGCAAGUCGAGCGAUAUAGCGGCGAACGGGUGAGUAACACGUUGGAACCUGCCCCGGACUCAGGGAUAGCCCGCCGAAAGGCGGAUUAAUACCGGAUGGUCCCGCAAGGGUAAAGCUUUUGCGGUCCGGGAGGGGCCUGCGCAGUAUCAGUUUGUUGGUAGGGUAACGGCCUACCAAGACUACGACGCUUAACUGGUCUGAGAGGAUGAUCAGUCACAAUGGAACUGAGACACGGUCCAUACUCCUACGGGAGGCAGCAGUAAGGAAUCUUCCGCAAUGGGCGAAAGCCUGACGGAGCGACACCGCGUGAAGGAUGAAGGCCUUUUGGUUGUAAACUUCUUUUCUGGGGGAAUAAAUGAUGAAGGUACCCCAGGAAUAAGCACCGGCUAACUACGUGCCAGCAGCCGCGGUAAUACGUAGGGUGCAAGCGUUAUCCGGAAUUAUUGGGCGUAAAGCGUGCGUAGGCUGCGCUGCAAGUUUGAGAUUAAAUCUGGUCGCUCAACGAUCAACGCGUCUCAAAAACUACAGUGCUAGAGAAUGACAGAGGCAACUGGAAUUCUGCAUGUAGGGGUAAAAUCCGUUGAUAUGCAGAGGAACACCAAAAGCGAAGGCAGGUUGCUGGGUCAUUUCUGACGCUGUUGCACGAAAGCGUGGGUAGCGAACAGGAUUAGAUACCCUGGUAGUCCACGCCGUAAACGAUGGAUACUCGGUUUGAGGAGGAUUCGACCCCUCUUUGAGCCCAAGCUAACGCGUUAAGUAUCCCGCCUGGGGAGUACGGUCGCAAGAUUAAAACUCAAAGGAAUAGACGGGGACCCACACAAGCGGUGGAGCAUGUGGUUUAAUUCGACGAUAAACGGGGAACCUUACCCAGACUUGACAUCUCCGGAAUUCUACAGAAAUGUGGAAGUGCCGUAAGGAACCGGAUGACAGGUGCUGCAUGGUCGUCGUCAGCUCGUGCCUUGAGGUGUUCGGUUAAGUCCGUAAACGAGCGCAACCCAUGUCCUGUGUUGCAUUUUUCACAGGAGACUGCCGGCUCCAAGUCGGAGGAAGGUAUGGAUGACGUCAGAUCAGCAUGGCCCUUAUGUCUGGGGCCACACACGUGCUACAAUGGCCGAUACAAUGAGCAGCCAACCCGUAAGGGGGAGCCAAUCUCAUCAAAGUCGGUCUAAGUUCGGAUUGAGGGCUGAAAUUCGCCCUCAUGAAGUUGGAAUCGCUAGUAAACGCGAAUCAGACAUGUCGCGUUGAAUAUGUUCCUGGGUCUUGUACUCACCGCCCGUCAUAUCAUGAAAGGUGGGGGUACCCGAAGUCGCCUUAGUCUUUCGGGACGGGUGCCUAAGGUAAACUCACUGAUUGGGAUAAAGUCGUAACAAGGUA